UGUGUGUGUGUGUGUUUGUUUUUAUUACAUGGUGGGGACCUCAGCAUGAUAGCACACUCACAAAGUGGGGACCAAAAACAUAGUGGGGACCGAUCGCCCGGUCCCCACUAUGUUUUGCCUUUAAAAGACUCAGGGGGCGUUGCUGAUAUGCCUAGUGCAGUUUUUUUCACUGAUCCCCACCUUGACCAUUUACCUGAAUUGAGUGUGUAAGUGUGUGUCGGCGCACUGCUCUAUAGCGGUCCUGUAGUUGGAUGGCGGUACUGCACCCUGACACACACUUGACGCAGUUCACACACUCUGCCUACUGCACAUGCGCAAUCUCAUAAAUGAAUCCGACUUUAAUCAACUUAAUUAAGAUCUAUCAUCAAAUUAUUCGAAUUUUUGGGUAAGUUAGAAUGUUUUUCACCAUCAUAAUGUAAUAAAAUAGGUUAUAUGACAAAUACUUAUGUUGCAUAUUUUGACAGUUAUCAGGUAUAGUUAAUUAAAUGUUUUAACGAAUUUCCUGGGUGUUUUAAUCGAUGUUGUUUCAAAUUACGUAUUAAUAUAACACUGAUAAGACACAAACUACAGUUCGGUAUGUAAUUUAACUUGUUUACACGAGUAAAAGUUACUCGCGCUAAUGUGCUAACGUGCUAACUGCCCGGUGCUACGUGAGUCAGAGGCCGGGGUGGAGUGCAUGAGCCGCGGUCAGACAGUCACCAAUCACCGGGCGGCUAAAUGGAUCGACGGAGGAUAAAACCAUUAAAAGAUGCGGAGAAACACAUCACCAGCUCCACUGACAAGACCCAUUCACUGGAAACCGAAUAUAUAGAAGGUUACUAAGUUUUGCAGCAUUGAUGCCGAUCAUGAGGACGAUCUGCACCCUAACUGCACUGUCAAUAAGAUCGUUGUUCAGAGAAAACCUCAUUUGUGCCUUUUUGCAAUCAGGGAUAUUUUCUUUGGAGAGGAAAUAACGUUUGACUAUGGCGCAUGUGAUUGGCCUUGGAGAAAGCUUUCAUUGAAGGAUGCCCAUAUGACUGCAGAAGAAAACUGCUCCGACAACUCUCUGAUGAGGUUUGCUGAAGUAUGACCGUAUGACAGAAGGAGAGAACAGCUCUGCUCCAGUACGAGACCCACAACUCUGAUGAGAGAAAGUUACAGUGGAUCGUGAUUUUGGAGGAGGUGAAGUCCAAUCUAAAAGAGUCCCCUCAAGUAUCAUCACCAUGGUACAGUGUCUGUGAAGAUAGUGAAGCAGACCCAGCAUUCACAAAAAAGAGAGGUCCCAUAAAGAGAAGAUCCUGGAGCAAACAGGAAGUACAUGCUGUGGUGAAAGCUGAACCAUUGGCUCUAAAAACCAGAGAUUGGUCAGCUUUGGAUUUUUAUAUUAAAAACUGAAUCUCGGCUCUUUAGA